UACGAGGGUGGCAAGCGUUGUUCGGGUUUAUUGGGCGUAAAGGGUGCGUAGGCGGUUUGGCAAGUCUUAUGUGAAAUCUAUGGGCUCAACCCAUAGUCUGCAUGCGAAACUACCGGGCUUGAGUAUUGGAGAGGUGAGUGGAAUUUCCGGUGUAGCGGUGAAAUGCGUAGAUAUCGGAAAGAACACCUGUGGCGAAGGCGGCUCACUGGACAAUAACUGACGCUGAUGCGCGAAAGCUAGGGGAGCAAACAGG
rnacentral:rRNA from 1 species